rnacentral:rRNA from 1 species
UGCAGAAUCUCGUGAACCAUCGAGUCUUUGAAUGGAAGUUGUGCCCGAGGCCGUCAGGACAAGGUCAUGCUUGCCUGGCCGUAACGC